GAUGAAGAACGCAGCGAAAUGCGAUAAGUAAUGCGAAUUGCAGAAUUCCAGUGAGUCAUCGAAUCUUUGAACGCACAUUGCGCCCCUUGGUAUUCCGGGGGGCACGCCUGUUCGAGCGCCAUUACACACCCCAAGCUCGGCUUGAUGUUGGGCGAUGUCUGUCAAAGGACACGCCUGGAACGCAUGGGCGCCCGCCGCCGGACCACGAGCGUAGCAAGACGCAAGUCAUCGCUCGGCUGGUCCUGGGGGUAGGCCGCCACGGCCCGUGGUAACACAUGGGCCCGUAACUUUUCACGAGUUUGGCCUCGAAUCAGGCGGGGAUACCCGCUGAACUUAAGCAUAUCAAUAAGCGGAGGA
rnacentral:misc_RNA from 1 species